AUGGCGGCGGCCGCAGUGAGUUGAGGAAUCAGGGCAAAGCUGGGCCUGCGUGAGAUUCGCAUCCACUUAUGUCAGCGCUUGCCCGGCAGCCAGGGUGUCAGGGACUUCAUUGAGAAACGCUAUGUGGAGCUAAAGAAGGUGAAUCCUGACCUACCCAUCCUAAUCCGCAAAUGCUCCGAUGUGCAGCCCAAGCUCUGGGCCCGCUACGCAUUUGGCCAAGAGAAGAAUGUCCCUUUGAACAACUUCAGUGCUGAUCAGGUAACCAGAGCCCUGGAGAACGUGCUAAGUGGUAAAGCCUGAAGCCUCCACUGAGGAAUAAGAGCAACAGCCCCAGAGCCUGGCCUCUGCUGGACUUAGUAUAAUGUGAAAAAAAUGUGUUCUCCUAUUCCUCAUAAAGCUUGUGCUGUAAAAUA